GCCACGCCUCAAGAGCUCCUUUUACAUCCUGGCCUGGGCGUGCCUCUUCCCAAGAGCACAAUGGCCAGUCUGUGGUCGGGGGCACCCGCCAGUCAGGGGGGCUGGCACACUGCCAGGUACGAGUCCCUUACCGCAGCCUCAAACAGGAACCAGCGCUGCCAGCAGGGAGUGGAGUCUGCAGGCUUUCCUGCAUUUUAACCCUGAAGGAACAGAGGAGCAAUUACAUCUCUGAGGGAAAAGCAAAGGGGGCUGGGUCAUCAGGCCUGGCUGGCUUCAUGGAAAUUUAGGCAACAUCCUUCCCCUGCUGCAGCAAUGAGUGUUGAGCUCCUGACCCCUUCCUAUUCUCGGUGUCCGAUUCCAACUCCUUAUGCCAAAUAGAAGAAGAAAUGCUGUCCCAAAGGCUGAGAAUUUAAAAACCACCGAUGUCCCAGCAGACCUCUGGCAACUGGCUCAUUAGAAAUGUCUGGCUAUGGUUAAGGGUGUGAGUGCUACACCUGCCCUAGUGCGGGUAGCCUGCCUAAAAUAUAAAGUAAGAGAAAGAAGGCUACGGCGCUCUUGCCUGCCUGCCUGCCCGCCAUGGACUGUUUCUCCUCUGCCCUGCCCCUCUGCCAGGCCACCCUGCCCUGGAGCCAGCCAGCUGUAGACCGAAACCUCUGCAAACGGCUACGUGGCUUAUUUGGAAGUUUUUUCAACUGUUUCUAGUCUCAAAAAAUAAAAACAAAGCCAUGUGUAAGUGAAUCUGUGCAGUACAAACUCAUGUUGUUCCAGGCCCACUGUAUAUCAUCCGUCCACCUUCCAUCCACCAUCCGUCCACCUUCCAUCCUAUGUGCUGUUUCUCUGGAGAACCCUGACCAACACCCAGGCUAACCCUACGCAAAGUUACACAAGGGCAAUGUGCACCUAAUAUCCCUGCGACCUCCUUCCCCGGCACUCCAGCGCUCUCUAGGGCCGUAAAGGGUGACCGGCAUCCGGGCCCUGCAGGUGACCUUCCGGUGGAAACGCAGCCUCUUCCUGAGCGCCACCCUUCACAGCUGUGUCCCUCAGGACACACCCCCUAGUUUGCAGGCAUAGCCACCCGUCCAGCCACCCCCACAUUUA